AUAGGGGAUGGCAGAAUAGGGAUGGCAAAAUACGGUCGAAAGGUGGCAGAUUAGGGAUGGCAAAAUAGGGUCGAAAAGUCAAAUUGGGGACGGCGAAAUGCGGUCGAAGCGUGGCAGAUUAGGGAUGGCGAAAUGCGGUCGAAUGGUGGCAGAUUAGGGAUGGCAAAAUGCGGUCGAAGCGUGGUGGCAGAUUAGGGAUGGCAAAAUGCGGUCGAAGUGUAGUGGCAGAUUAGGGAUGGCAAAAUGCGGUCGAAUUGUGGUGGCAGAUUAGGGAUGGCGACUUUGAGAAAGUGAAGGGCAUGGUGUCAGUGGUACCGUACGAACAUUUUAAGGUUCUUAAGUUUAGCAUGUAGCCUGAAUGUAUCUGCAUAUGCCAGGAUACGGUACGGUAAUAGGUACCACCUACCGGUACCGUAGUGAGUACCGGUACCGGUAUGUGGCCCAUUACAGCAUUAAUCUGCCAAGGCUAAUCCAGUCCCUGACGGCAUGGGCAGCGUAGAGAAUGGCAGUAGACAGAAAAUACGAUAUGAAGAUUAAGGUUAUCUAGUCUUUAGGGAUAUUGCUGCAAUGACUGAAGUGAGUCUAUUUGUGCCAGAAAGGGGAUCAAGAACUUUAUAGUUUGCACUUUCAACAAGAGAGCGAUGCUCAAAUAUAUGGACACGCAGCCUGAGCGAAGCAGUAGUCCAGCUUACCUUUGACGGUUCGCUAAACACUAGAAGCACCAAUGUUCGCUGACCUCGUGACUCGCUGCGCACGAUGAACCGCCACAUGGUGGCAAUUUUUGAUGAGGUCAUAGCACAAAAGAAAUGAAUUCCAUGCAGAAAUAUUGGAAAUAUAUGGAAGUAAUAGCCUUCAGGCAAAUCAAUCUUAAACCAUUGAAAAUUUCAAAGCAAUUCGUCCAGUAAUCAACAAGAAAAGCAGUUUUUCAAUAUGUGUCAAAGAACAACAACAUAAUAACAAAACGAUCCAUAGGUCCACUACAUGCCCACAAAUGAAUUGUGACAUGGGACUUGAUAUAGUUUUAUCUCCAAAACUAUCUCUGUACUUCAAAACACCGAUGACCGUCUCACAUACUCUACUGUGUAUUGGUUCAAUUUGCAAAUAUUCUGAAACUUGAGAAUGUUUAUGGAUUUGAAGUGCUGAAACUUACGUUUCAGUUCAGAUUUGGUAUCAUUGCUGAUCAUUGCUUCGGGCAACUCAUUAAAAAGUGAUAAUUAUCGUUCAGCUGACAGAGGUUCCUAUUUUGUCAUAGUUAACUUUACCCUGGUACAAAAAUGUAUUGAAGAUACUUUCUAACACAAUAGCUUCGUGUAGUAUUUCACAAGUUCUUGGAAUAUGAUUAUGUUCAAAUUUCAUAAAGGAACCAUUCUAAUCUAGUAAUAUUUAAUAUUUAUUCAGCAUUUUAGCUUAUAAGGCAAAUGUUAAAUGAGAAAUUAGAUACUUAUUAUUUGUAAAGGGCAUAUAAAACAUUAAACUUUAGUGUAUGUUUGCUAAUCCAUAUGUUAGUAAGAGUUGUUUAUUUGCCAUAAUUGCUUCUAUUAAAAUAAUUUUCCUAUUUUUGUUAAUGUAACUUGGAUCAAUCAUAAAAAUCACUCUCAUUUUUAAUCUUGUUUUAUAGUUUAUUUAUUGCUACUGUUUUUUAUGCAAACUGUAUUCCCAUUGUUGCAUCCAAGGUUAUCCAUCCAGCUAAUCUAAACAUUUUUAUGACAGAUCAACUUUUUCAUAGAUUUCACCUAAUAGCACAUAGUCAGCCCUAUAGUUAUCAUUUUAUUUACACAAACAUUUGAAAGAGUGCAUUCUCCUGGUCUGAUCCUUUACUUCCACAAAUAUUUUAUCAUUUCGACUUGCUACUAGUAUGCAAUCUCACUUACUUUUGUGAUUUCCAUUUUCGUGUCUUGAAGACAUUCUCAUAAAAUUCAGUUCCUAACCCUACCUAAAAUCACUGAGAUCACACAAUCGCUGAGAUUGAAUACCUUUAUAUGUUUAAUAGGUGCUCCCGUGUGUGCAUCCCGUCCCAGCAUGUGCACCAAGAUGGCACACAGCCUGAACAUAGUAUGUGUAUCAGGUUAGGGUUAUCAGGUUGUACGCCAUCUCAGUGCACAUACUACGGAAGCGUCGUUUAAUAACAUAAUAGCUCUAUUUGUGCUACUGUUCAAAUUAAUGUCACUGACUUCAACUUGUGUACACAAAUUCCAAAUAUUUAUUUUUUCUUCUAAUAACGUGCAACAUACUAAAUUGUAUUUGUUUGAGAUUACAUUUUUCCAAGAUACAGAAUUAUGUUUUAAUUUGCUUUCAGUAUUUUUUGCCAAUUAUUAAACACUAUUUAUGGGGACUGUAGCAUUUGUGUACACGAUAUUAUAUACUUUGUCUAGUCCUUGUUUGUUUUGAAGUCAAUCAAUAAGAUCUGAUUUUCAUUCAUGAAUCAUAACCACUUUGUACUAAUGCAUUGUCUGCAAUCCUAAAAUAACAAUUUCUCUGCUACUACUCCAUACUGUGUUAUUUUGUUCUUGUUAUAAGAUAAACUUGUUAUUUAUGUGGGUGGGUGCAUAUGCUGUUAUAUAUAUUCUAUAAUGAACUUCCUGAUUACUUUCUGUAGCAAUAGUUUUCAGUGUGUAAUCUUGAAAUCUUGCAGUGAAAAUAUGUCUUCCCCCAGAUAAUGUCCUAGCAUUUACUAAGUCCUUUGGUUAAGUUCAUGUUUUAAUAUGCCAAACUAUGCAUGGAAACACAUGUAAUUGUGUGACAACAUUUCGAAUCAAUAUGAUAUACUGGUGUUAUAUGCUUUCAUUAUUAUAAAAUAUUGUGAAUUAAUUUCUUAAUAAUGUAAUAAUUUUUUUUGGUUGGUCCCAAUUUUUGUGUUCACAUUUUGAACCUUACUGUAAAUGAUGUAGGAUUUCCCAUUUUGCAUUUAUACCCGAUAUCUUUAUAGCAUCAUGUCAUCUCAAAUUAUGUGCUUCAUGUUAUCUCAAAUUUCAUCUUAUUAUUUCGGUUCCAUUACAUUUGAACCCACGUACAUUUGAACCCAUGACAAUUGCACAUGUAUGCUAUUGCACCUAUGGAAUUUUUUUUGUUUCACGGAUAGUUAAACCCAUACUAACCCUAACCCAUGGGUUUUAGCACCCGCAUAUAGAUUGAACCCGUGGAUAUACGCAUGGGUUCAAAUGUACGGUCACCCUUUAUUUCCGUUUACAACUUCUUUCUUGCGCGCAUGUAUGAAUAAACAUGCAUGGUUCACUAAAAUUUGCAUGUUUUCUCAUGAAUGUCCUGCUUGUAAUUUUCUUAAAAGCAGAAUGAAAAACUAUUGUAAUUUAUAAUUUAACAUUGGUGUUCUUUCUUCUAUUUUUAUUAAUUCCCUGUAAUCAGGGAAAUGCUGAUGCUGACACUAUUGCUGAUACUAAGCACUCCAAUUAGCAUUUAACCCUCACUCUCUAUGCCUUCCAAUGUCAUAUAUUUCUUGUUGCUUGUGAACGGUAUUUCUUCAAAAACGGGAAUAUUCAAUUCAUCACUUUCAUUAGGUGCUGUAUACAUGAUUCAUUCUGGCCAUUUGAAGGAAUAUACUCUCACUCUCAUGUCAGUGCGCUUUCGUUUCUAUAAUAUAAAACUUUCAAAAUCAUAUCAUAUUACAUGAGCCAACUUUAAUGUUGCUCAAUUUUGAAAUGAUUGAUGAUGAUGAUUUUUUUAAACCUACUUAGUGACAACAACUAGACCAUUAUACCACUUUUUAAUGCCUUAUACCUUACUUUGAGUCCUUCACCAUUUACAUAUCUUAAGUAACCAAUGCCAUUACCUCAAAUUUGAAAAUACCAUAAAACCUACGAUCUCUGGUCGUUCUUAGAGCAUCGAUUCACGGGCUUGUCAAACUCUCUGGUCAUUUAGUUCAGGGACAUUUAAUUCAUCCCUACAUAUAUACCGUUCAAUAUGUUUUCAAUGUUAGUCUAGUCUUGGAAAGUUUUGAGAUUGUUUUUAUCGUGGAAAACUGAAUAAAAUGAAAUAAAGAGGCCUCCUCA